UUGGGACUAUUCGAAACAACACAGCAAUGUUAAAAUAAGGUUUUAUCCGUAUUCAACUUUGUGAAAAGUGGGCACCGAUUCGGUGCUUUUUU
rnacentral:sRNA from 1 species